UUGAAACGUUGACCGUUGGGGCGGUGGUUGGGUGCUCACAGGAGCAGCCUCAGACAAUGGGAGGAAAUGAUGACGUCAAACAGCGCGGUGUCUGGUGGACUAUUCUCGCAGGGGAAGCUAGGGCAACGGUUGUGGUGUAGGUGCGCACCCGUCUGGAUUUCACUUUAAUGCAAGAUUUCCAUAAACAGUGACGUCAUAAUUGGUUAAUGUAUUUAACGAAUAACAGAGGGAGAUUUGCGAAGCUCUCCUGUCUGGACGACCUUUGGGACGGAUGACGUCACGACCAAUAACAGUGCAGAGCUCCUGAUGCCCUGGAGGAGAAAUCAACGGACGCUUCAUUGCUUCGGGUGGAUCUCUGAGUGGCGGUCAUGCUGUUGGUGCUCUCCUCGCCACGGAUUUCGUGACGAGCGACUGUCUUUGACUGAGUGAUAUGUGUGGAAAUACUUCGGUGCCGCUUACACACCUGUACCGCAGCCAACCCCCGAAUAUCAUUGGAGUCCGACACCGGAAUGUAUGUAUUAUUAUAACACGAGUAUGGAUGUUGAUAAUGUGACUAUCAUUUCAGAUUACCCAACGUUGGAUCCCGUGAAUUAUUACUGGAGUCCGCCGCCACCGCAAUGUCACUAUUGUGCCCAACGUCGGAAAUGAUGGAACUAAUAAGGAGUACAAUAAUUAUUACAUCGAAUGAAAUAUUAACUAAUGAAUAAAUGUAUGUUUCCUUUA